AGUGAACGCUGGCGGUAGGCCUAACACAUGCAAGUCGAACGGCAGCACAGUAAGAGCUUGCUCUUACGGGUGGCGAGUGGCGGACGAGUGAGGAAUACAUCGGAAUCUACUUUUUCGUGGGGGAUAACGUAGGGAAACUUACGCUAAUACCGCAUACGACCUACGGGUGAAAGCAGGGGAUCUUCGGACCUUGCGCGAUUGAAUGAGCCGAUGUCGGAUUAGCUAGUUGGCGGGGUAAAGGCCCACCAAGGCGACGAUCCGUAGCUGGUCUGAGAGGAUGAUCAGCCACACUGGAACUGAGACACGGUCCAGACUCCUACAGGAGGCAGCAGUGGGGAAUAUUGGACAAUGGGCGCAAGCCUGAUCCAGCCAUACCGCGUGGGUGAAGAAGGCCUUCGGGUUGUAAAGCCCUUUUGUUGGGAAAGAAAAGCAGCAGGUUAAUACCCCGCUGUUCUGACGGUACCCAAAGAAUAAGCACCGGCUAACUUCGUG
rnacentral:rRNA from 1 species